AUGGGGUCGCGUCCUAUCAGGUAGUCGGCGGGGUAACGGCCCACCGAGCCUACGACGGGUAGCCGGCCUGAGAGGGCGACCGGCCACAUUGGGACUGAGAUACGGCCCAGACUCCUACGGGAGGCAGCAGUGGGGAAUAUUGCACAAUGGGCGCAAGCCUGAUGCAGCGACGCCGCGUGCGGGAUGACGGCCUUCGGGUUGUAAACCGCUUUUGACUGGGAGCAAGCCCUUCGGGGUGAGUGUACCUUUCGAAUAAGCACCGGCUAACUACGUGCCAGCAGCCGCGGUAAUACGUAGGGUGCAAGCGUUAUCCGGAAUUAUUGGGCGUAAAGGGCUCGUAGGCGGUUCGUCGCGUCCGGUGUGAAAGUCCAUCGCUUAACGGUGGAUCCGCGCCGGGUACGGGCGGG
rnacentral:rRNA from 1 species